CAGUAGCCGCGGGAAAACGAAGGGUGCAAGCGUUACUCGGAAUUACUGGGCGUAAAGCGUGCGUAGGUGGUGGUUUAAGUCCGUUGUGAGAGCCCUGGGCUCAACCUGGGAAUUGCAGUGGAUACUGGGUCACUAGAGUGUGGUAGAGGAUAGUGGAAUUUCCGGUGUAGCAGUGAAAUGCGUAGAGAUCGGAAGGAACAUCUGUGGCGAAGGCGACUAUCUGGGCCAACACUGACACUGAGGCACGAAAGCGUGGGGAGCAAACAGGAUUAGAUACCCGAGUAGUCCCUGUCUCUUAUAC
rnacentral:rRNA from 1 species